rnacentral:rRNA from 1 species
GGUGAAAAGCACCCCGGAAGGGGAGUGAAAUAGAACCUGAAACCGUGUGCUUACAAGUAGUCAGAGCCCGUUAAUGGGUGAUGGCGUGCCUUUUGUAGAAUGAACCGGCGAGUUACGAUUUGAUGCAAGGUUAAGCAGUAAAUGUGGAGCCGUAGCGAAAGCGAGUCUGAAUAGGGCGUUUAGUAUUUGGUCGUAGACCCGAAACCAGGUGAUCUACCCUUGGUCAGGUUGAAGUUCAGGUAACACUGAAUGGAGGACCGAACCGACUUACGUUGAAAAGUGAGCGGAUGAACUGAGGGUAGCGGAGAAAUUCCAAUCGAACCUGGAGAUAGCUGGUUCUCUCCGAAAUAGCUUUAGGGCUAGCCUCAAGUGAUGAUUAUUGGAGGUAGAGCACUGUUUGGACGAGGGGCCCCUCUCGGGUUACCGAAUUCAGACAAACUCCGAAUGCCAAUUAAUUUAACUUGGGAGUCAGAACAUGGGUGAUAAGGUCCGUGUUCGAAAGGGAAACAGCCCAGACCACCAGCUAAGGUCCCAAAAUAUAUGUUAAGUGGAAAAGGAUGUGGCGUUGCCCAGACAACUAGGAUGUUGGCUUAGAAGCAGCCAUCAUUUAAAGAGUGCGUAAUAGCUCACUAGUCGAGUGACACUGCGCCGAAAAUGUACCGGGGCUAAACAUAUUACCGAAGCUGUGGAUUGUCCUUUGGACAAUGGUAGGAGAGCGUUCUAAGGGCGUUGAAGCAUGAUCGUAAGGACAUGUGGAGCGCUUAGAAGUGAGAAUGCCGGUGUGAGUAGCGAAAGACGGGUGAGAAUCCCGUCCACCGAUUGACUAAGGUUUUCAGAGGAAGGCUCGUCCGCUCUGGGUUAGUCGGGUCCUAAGCUGAGGCCGACAGGCGUAGGCGAUGGAUAACAGGUUGAUAUUCCUGUACCACCUAUAAUCGUUUUAAUCGAUGGGGGGACGCAGUAGGAUAGGCGAAGCGUGCGAUUGGAUUGCACGUCUAAGCAGUAAGGCUGAGUAUUAGGCAAAUCCGGUACUCAUUAAGGCUGAGCUGUGAUGGGGAGAAGACAUUGUGUCUUCGAGUCGUUGAUUUCACACUGCCGAGAAAAGCCUCUAGAUAGAAAAUAGGUGCCCGUACCGCAAACCGACACAGGUAGUCAAGAUGAGAAUUCUAAGGUGAGCGAGCGAACUCUCGUUAAGGAACUCGGCAAAAUGACCCCGUAACUUCGGGAGAAGGGGUGCUCUUUAGGGUUAACGCCCAGAAGAGCCGCAGUGAAUAGGCCCAAGCGACUGUUUAUCAAAAACACAGGUCUCUGCUAAACCGUAAGGUGAUGUAUAGGGGCUGACGCCUGCCCGGUGCUGGAAGGUUAAGAGGAGUGGUUAGCUUCUGCGAAGCUACGAAUCGAAGCCCCAGUAAACGGCGGCCGUAACUAUAACGGUCCUAAGGUAGCGAAAUUCCUUGUCGGGUAAGUUCCGACCCGCACGAAAGGCGUAACGAUUUGGGCACUGUCUCAACGAGAGACUCGGUGAAAUCAUAGUACCUGUGAAGAUGCAGGUUACCCGCGACAGGACGGAAAGACCCCGUGGAGCUUUACUGUAGCCUGAUAUUGAAAUUCGGCACAGCUUGUACAGGAUAGGUAGGAGCCUUUGAAACGUGAGCGCUAGCUUACGUGGAGGCGCUGGUGGGAUACUACCCUAGCUGUGUUGGCUUUCUAACCCGCACCACUUAUCGUGGUGGGAGACAGUGUCAGGCGGGCAGUUUGACUGGGGCGGUCGCCUCCUAAAAGGUAACGGAGGCGCUCAAAGGUUCCCUCAGAAUGGUUGGAAAUCAUUCAUAGAGUGUAAAGGCAUAAGGGAGCUUGACUGCGAGACCUACAAGUCGAGCAGGGUCGAAAGACGGACUUAGUGAUCCGGUGGUUCCGCAUGGAAGGGCCAUCGCUCAACGGAUAAAAGCUACCCCGGGGAUAACAGGCUUAUCUCCCCCAAGAGUUCACAUCGACGGGGAGGUUUGGCACCUCGAUGUCGGCUCAUCGCAUCCUGGGGCUGUAGUCGGUCCCAAGGGUUGGGCUGUUCGCCCAUUAAAGCGGUACGCGAGCUGGGUUCAGAACGUCGUGAGACAGUUCGGUCCCUAUCCGUCGUGGGCGUAGGAAAUUUGAGAGGAGCUGUCCUUAGUACGAGAGGACCGGGAUGGACAUACCUCUGGUGUACCAGUUGUCGUGCCAACGGCAUAGCUGGGUAGCUAUGUGUGGACGGGAUAAGUGCUGAAAGCAUCUAAGCAUGAAGCCCCCCUCAAGAUGAGAUUUCCCAACUUCGGUUAUAAGAUCCCUCAAAGAUGAUGAGGUUAAUAGGUUCGAGGUGGAAGCAUGGUGACAUGUGGAGCUGACGAAUACUAA